AUUGAACGCUGGCGGCAUGCCUUACACAUGCAAGUCGAACGGUAACAGGUCUUCGGAUGCUGACGAGUGGCGAACGGGUGAGUAAUACAUCGGAACGUGCCUAGUAGUGGGGGAUAACUACUCGAAAGAGUGGCUAAUACCGCAUGAGAUCUACGGAUGAAAGCAGGGGAUCGCAAGACCUGGUGCUACUACAGCGGCCGAUGGCAGAUUAGGUAGUUGGUGGGAUAAAAGCUUACCAAGCCGACGAUCUGUAGCUGGUCUGAGAGGACGAUCAGCCACGCUGGGACUGAGACACGGCCCAGACUCCUACGGGAGGCAGCAGUGGGGAAUUUUGGACAAUGGGCGAAAGCCUGAUCCAGCAAUGCCGCGUGCAGGAUGAAGGCCUUCGGGUUGUAAACUGCUUUUGUACGGAACGAAAAGCCCCGGGUUAAUACCCUGGGGUCAUGACGGUACCGUAAGAAUAAGCACCGGCUAACUACGUGCCAGCCGCCGCCGUAA
rnacentral:rRNA from 1 species